rnacentral:rRNA from 1 species
UACGUAGGGGGCAAGCGUUGUCCGGAAUCAUUGGGCGUAAAGAGCGUGUAGGCGGCUCGAUAAGUCUGCUGUGAAAGCCCAGGGCUCAACUCUGGGUCGGCCACUGAUACUCGCGAGCUCGAGUUUGGUAGAGGCAGAUGGAAUUCCGGGUGUAGCGGUGGAAUGCGUAGAGAUCCGGAAGAACACCGGUGGCGAAGGCGGUCUGCUGGGCCAAGACUGACGCUGAGGCGCGACAGCGUGGGGAGCAAACAGG